GCUUGUAAUUACUCUCAAAGAUACUCUUUCUUUAUUUGACAACUAAUCAAUUUCCCUGGCAGCUUAGACUGACAAAAGAUUUCUCUUAAUCUAAGUGAGCUCUUCCAUUGAAUUAUUCUAACCUUCUAAUAGCAUUUGAGAUCCUCAGAAAUGUCAGCCUGAGAAUCGAGGCCAACCACCUGCUCAAAACCUGCCUCUGAAGCCCUGUCUUCUCUGUUUCUCUGUUUGCUUUGAAUGCCCUCCCAAAAGGGGAUAAUUAAGUGUUCUGGUUUGCAAGUCUUCCCGUUGUGCCAGGUUUCCAGAAAAAGUAUGGUUUGACGUGUGGUAAUGAAUAGUCAACAAAGAAGACUACUGAGACACUGAGCAGACAAGUAACUUUCCAAGCAUCAUACGGACAUAUUAACAUACAUAUUAAAAAAGGAGGACUUCAACCCAGUCAUUCCUGCCUCAAGGAUCAACUCUUUAUUUAUUAUGUCAUGCUGAAAAGACAAAGAUAUUAUUAAAUACUAUUCUUGCUAUGGUUGUUGCUGGGAAGCUGUGAUGUGGUAAAUAGAGUGUUGUACGUGGAAAUAGAGACUAAUACAUAUUAAUUGGCAUAUCACUUAAUCUUC